UUUCCGUAGGUGAACCUGCGGAAGGAUCAUUAAUGUGUUUGGGCCUCACGGCUCUUCAUUCCGACGCUGUGCGCCUUCGGGCUGCACGCUGAGGGAGCAUAUAUCCACCCCUGUGCACACACACGGUGGCGAGCUGGGUAACGGCUCGCCGCUGAUCUUUACACACGUCUAAAAGUCAUUGUUUGUUUAUUUGAGAUAAAAACACAACUUUCAGCAACGGAUCUCUUGGCUCUC
rnacentral:misc_RNA from 1 species